rnacentral:rRNA from 1 species
AUGGCUACGAAGAAAUAUUUCUUCUGCUAUGGAUCCUUCUCUAUUAAGGACGGCUCAGAAAUUAGAUUCUGGGAGGACAAGUGGCUAGGAAAUGCCACACUCCGGGAACAAUAUCCGGCUCUAUACAACAUUGUGCGCCACAAGGGUGAUACUAUCGCCACGGUAAUGGAAUCAUUUCCGCCAAAUGUGACGUUCAGAAGACAUUUAAUUGGACCCAGACUCCAUUCGUGGAACAUCCUACUCCAGCGGUUGUCCACGGAGCAAUUGUCACAUGGGUCUGAUCUAUUCUGAUGGAACCUCCGUGAGAAUGGACAAUUCUGA